GAGUACUUUAACCAAGACCCAGGCAGCCAGCCAGGCAUCAGAGCCGCAAGGCCUCACCUGGCAUCAUUAAGGUGGCGGAUUAAGAUUCCCAAGCUGUCGGAAAGACGUGAGUAAUCCUCUCAAAUGGAACGAGGGAGUGUGCAGCGGCAUUUUAAGCCUGUCCUGUUGUCGCUUGCUGGUGGAAUAUUAACUCUGAGGACACUAGUCUGGGAGGCUUCCACAUUCCCAUGGGUUACGCUGCCAUGUACAAUAGCCACGCGGUCAAAGCGACCCGGAAGUGUUGCAGAGGACUUCCUGCCAGAGAGUUAGGGUGGAAGAUGGAGGCUUAAUUUUCCCUGGAGGGUCCACCACUGCCCACCCUCAUCCCAACCCCCACUCCGUGCCGUCCCCAGGCCUCUCUCCUCUCACUGAGCUCUGCUACCACCCCCCCAACCUGUCAUCCCCUCUCAGUGGUCUGAUUCCCUGCCCCCAGCAGAGGCGGUCACAGCUGGUGAUAUGGGAACAGGAAGUGAACUGCCACUCACUGUGACCUCAUACAGGGCAGCCAGGCCAGGUCUCAUCAUGCAUCAUACCCUGCAGCAGUGGGAAGCAUCUGUGGGCUUCCGACUGACAAUGAGGCCAGUUUGAUUCACUCUCCACCUUUCUAUCCUAUUAUUCUCUCUCUCACCGACCCCCUCAUCAUCAUCAUCAUCAUCAGAGCACCUACCGUGUUACUGAUGUAUAAUUUUAUGGUAUGAAUUUCACACGUUGUUAUCAGGCACUUAUCAGACAUUAUCACAGUGUUACCACAGAAUUUCACUCUAACCCUGUUAUGACUGUAUGAAUAACUGUAUGACUGUAUCUUGUCUCUUACCAGAUCCUUGGGCUCUAAGCAUUGACAGCCUUAUCAACAUUAUCUCUGAUACUCAGUUGUUCUCAUGAUAAGCCUCUCCCAUAGAACAGAGAUAAAGAUGAAUCCCCUAGAUAUACAGACGCUUGUGAAAGUCUACACCCCUUGCACAGUCUUCACAUUUUUCUCAUUUAAUAUUACAUGUAAAAAGGAUUACGUUGGAUUUUUUUUUCUUACCAAUCUACACAACCUACUCCACCAUUCCAAAGGGAAAGAAAAAUAAUAUAACAUUUUCCUAAUUAAUAAUACAAAAACGAAGAUGUGUUGAUUGUGUAUGUCUUCACAACCCAGGGUUAAUACUAGGUGGAAGCACCUUUGGCAUCCAUUUCAGCUAUAAAUCAUUUUGAAUAAGAUUCUACCAACUUUUCACAAAUCUUAGGGCAACAUAUAUCCAAAUUGCUCAAGCUCAGUAAAUUCGGCAGGCAAUCAUUGACGGACAGCAAUAUUCAAGCCUCUCUGAUUCUCAAGCAGAUUUAAGUCAGUACUGAGACUAACCCACUCAGGAACACUCAACACCUCUUGGAAAGCCAUUCUGGUGUGUCUUUGGCAUUAACAUUUCUGUAAUGGUCCCGCUGAAAAAUAAAACUCUAUCCCAGGGUUUGUUUGGCAGAAUACUGAGACAGCUUUUCCUCUUUUUACCUGUGCUUUGCUCCUUUCAUAUUUAUUUUGAUUCUGAGACACUCCCCAGUCCCUACCAGUAACAAGCAUACCCAUAACUUGAUGCCACCACAAAACUUGAAAAUACAGAAAGUUUCACUUGGUAUUGUGUUGCGUUGGAUUUGAUGCAAACCUGUUUUUCAUUUAGGCCAAAAAGUAAAUGUAUUUGAUGUGUUUGUCUUGCAUGUAAUUCCUUUAUCAUAUAUUCCAGAGAUGUAGCAAAUAGUAAAGGGUCUGAAUACUUGUAACAGGGCUUUGUGAAGCCUUCAUUUAAUAUGAUUUAUUAGGCCUUUAUUAAGCGGUGCUUAUGCCACCCUUUAUAAAGCACAGGUUUAUGUCAUAUUUGACAUUGGUGGUUAUUUCACACAGUUAUGCCACAUUUAUGAACCCUUUAAAAAGCAUGACAUACGGUUAUAGAUGAUUUGUAACACAUUCAUGUAGUGUUUAUGAAGGCUUUAUAAGCUGCACUUCAUUUAAAGCGGGAUCAAAUGUAAUGUGAGAAUUGCAUUGUGAAAGGCAAUUACUUUAUAUGAACAUGUAUUGUAAUGUGAAACAUGGAUUUCUAGAUGAAACACUAAGUUUGAUGAAACUAUGAUUUUGUGUGUUUUUCUUAGUCAAUUGAAAUUGUGCUUAGCGUUUUCAAACAACUGCCUUUUGGAUGAUCUGUUUUGAGUUUUGGACUAGGAGUGGUGAAAAUGCUCGACAUACUUGUGGAAAUUGCACCAAACCGACCAAAAAAAAAACUAUCCUUUCCCAUACAGUGUUGACUGUAACUUGACAUGAACAGUUUUUGUAGAAUUUGUAUCCAAUGAUAGGUUGUGAGCAAGUUAAGAAAUAUGUCGGUCCUACAGUUUCAUUAUCCUUAUACAGUACAUGCGUCGGAUAAAUCAUCAGAAAUGGGGGUAAUGUAAAGCAGUUGACUGCUUUAUAAACGUUGUACGGUGUUUUAUGCCAUUUCUGCCCCAUGUAACAUUGUACAAGACCACCUUUUCUUUGCGUGACUUGUCAACUGAUACAUUAUCACCUGUCCCUCUGCUUGAAAUGUAUCAACUUACAGUGUAAUAAUACAGAUAAUGAGUGGCACAUAUUGUCAUAUUCAACCCAGGUAUUUCAGCAGUGCAUUGUACACUACACUACAUGUAUAAUUCCAAAUGGUAGAAUAUAGAUUGACUCUUACAACUUUGUCCUAUUGAUGCACAUUGGCUGAUGGAGAAUGACAACGUAUUAUUUACAGCCAGAUCCAUAUUUGGUUUUACCUUCCACCAUAAAUGUAUGUCAAAUUGAUACAUUUAUGAGGUAAAAUGAUAGAAAUGUACAGUGUUCAGCAGUUAUCAAACUAAAUACAUUAACUAGGCACUACAUCAUUUUGGUUCAAUAGUUAUCAGUUUUGAGCAGUUUGAUUAAGUUCAUUGUAUUGUUAACAAAUUAGAAUAGAAUUUUGGAAAAGCAGAUACUUAGAUUGAAUAUGUAUCCAAAUUGGAAGAGUGAUUUGGUGCAGUGAACAAGUGACUUGUGAAUUUGUUUGCUGUACUCAGUCAAUUGAAAAUGUGCUUAGAGUUUUGAAACAUGAACCAUAGGUUUUGAUUUUUGUGCCAAAGUGAUGAUAAAUAAACAUUCGGGGAGGAGGAGGGGGUGUCACGACUUCCGCCGAAGUCGGUCCCUCUUCCUGUUCGUUCGGCGGUCGACGUCACCGGCUUUCCAGCCA